AGAGUUUGAUCAUGGCUCAGGACGAACGCUGGCGGCGUGCCUAACACAUGCAAGUCGAACGAACUCUGGUAUUGAUUGGUGCUUGCAUCAUGAUUUACAUUUGAGUGAGUGGCGAACUGGUGAGUAACACGUGGGAAACCUGCCCAGAAGCGGGGGAUAACACCUGGAAACAGAUGCUAAUACCGCAUAACAACUUGGACCGCAUGGUCCGAGCUUGAAAGAUGGCUUCGGCUAUCACUUUUGGAUGGUCCCGCGGCGUAUUAGCUAGAUGGUGGGGUAACGGCUCACCAUGGCAAUGAUACGUAGCCGACCUGAGAGGGUAAUCGGCCACAUUGGGACUGAGACACGGCCCAAACUCCUACGGGAGGCAGCAGUAGGGAAUCUUCCACAAUGGACGAAAGUCUGAUGGAGCAACGCCGCGUGAGUGAAGAAGGGUUUCGGCUCGUAAAACUCUGUUGUUAAGGAAGAACAUAUCUGAGAGUAACUGUUCAGGUAUUGACGGUAUUUAACCAGAAAGCCACGGCUAACUACGUGCCAGCAGCCGCGGUAAUACGUAGGUGGCAAGCGUUGUCCGGAUUUAUUGGGCGUAAAGCGAGCGCAGGCGGUUUUUUAAGUCUGAUGUGAAAGCCUUCGGCUCAACCGAAGAAGUGCAUCGGAAACUGGGAAACUUGAGUGCAGAAGAGGACAGUGGAACUCCAUGUGUAGCGGUGAAAUGCGUAGAUAUAUGGAAGAACACCUGUGGCGAAGGCGGCUGUCUGGUCUGUAACUGACGCUGAGGCUCGAAAGUAUGGGUAGCAAACAGGAUUAGAUACCCUGGUAGUCC
rnacentral:rRNA from 1 species